GAUAAAUGCUGGCGGCGUGCCUAACACAUGCAAGUCGAGCGGCAGCGCGAAUAGUUUACUAUUUGGCGGCGAGCGGCGGACGGCUGAGUAACGCGUGGGAACGUACCCCAAAGUGAGGAAUAACUGCCCGAAAGGGUGGCUAAUGCCGCAUAUGGUCUUCGGAUUAAAGGAUUUAUCCGCUUUGGGAACGGCCUGCGUACGAUUAGAUAGUUGGUGAGGUAAAGGCUCACCAAGUCAACGAUCGUUAACUGGUCUGAGAGGAUGAUCAGUCAGACUGGAACUGAGAUACGGUCCAGACUCCUACGGGAGGCAGCAGUGAGGAAUCUUCCACAAUGGGCGAAAGCCUGAUGGAGCAACGCCGCGUGCAGGAUGAAGGCCUUCGGGUCGUAAACUGCUUUUAUAAGUGAAGAAUUUGACGGUAGCUUAUGAAUAAGCACCGGCUAACUACGUGCCAGCAGCCGCGGUCAUACGUAGGGUGCAAGCAUUAUCCGGAGUGACUGGGCGUAAAGAGUUGCGUAGGUGGUUUGUUAAGUGAAUAGUGAAAUCUGGUGGCUCAACCACUCAGACUAUUAUUCAAACUGGCAAACUCGAGAGUAGCAGAGGUAACUGGAAUUUCUAGUGUAGGAGUGAAAUCCGUAGAUAUUAGAAGGAACACCAAUGGCGUAAGCAGGUUACUAGGCUAUUUCUGACACUAAGGCACGAAAGCGUGGGGAGCGAACCGGAUUAGAUACCCGGGUAGUCCACGCCGUAAACUAUGGAUACUAGCUGUUGGAGGUAUCGACCCCUUCAGUAGCGAAGCUAACGCGUUAAGUAUCCCGCCUGUGUAGUACGGUCGCAAGACUAAAACAUAAAGGAAUUGACGGGGACCCGCACAAGCGGUGGAGCGUGUUCUUUAAUUCGACACUAAUCGAAGAACCUUACCAGGGUUUGACAUUCUUGGAAUCUUUUCGAAAGUUAAGAGUGCUUUAUUGAGCCAAGUGACAGGUGAUGCAUGGCCGUCGUCAGCUCGUGUCGUG
rnacentral:rRNA from 1 species